rnacentral:rRNA from 1 species
GGAUGAUGUGGUUUAAUUCGAUGCAACGCGAAAACCUUACCCACCUUUGACAUGGCAGGAAUCCCGAAGAGAUUUGGGAGUGCUCGAAAGAGAACCUGCACACAGGUGCUGCAUGGCUGUCGUCAGCUCGUGUCGUGAGAUGUUGGUUAAGUCCCGCAACGAGCGCAACCCUUGCCAUUAGUUGCUACGAAAGGGCACUCUAAUGGGACUGCCGGUGACAAACCGGAGGAAGGUGGGGAUGACGUCAAGUCCUCAUGGCCCUUAUAGGUGGGGCUACACACGUCAUACAAUGGCCGGUACAGAGGGUAGCCAACCCGCGAGGGGGAGCCAAUCCCACAAAGCCGGUCGUAGUCCGGAUCGCAGUCUGCAACUCGACUGCGUGAAGUCGGAAUCGCUAGUAAUCGCGGAUCAGCAUGUCGCGGUGAAUACGUUCCCGGGUCUU